rnacentral:rRNA from 1 species
AUACGGAGGGUGCAAGCGUUACUCGGAAUCACUGGGCGUAAAGCGCGCGCAGGCGGCUAUUUAAGUUGGAUGUGAAAGCCUACGGCUCAACCGUAGAACUGCAUCCAAAACUAUUUAGCUAGAGUGUGGGAGAGGAAGAUGGAAUUAGUUGUGUAGGGGUAAAAUCCGUAGAGAUAACUAGGAAUACCAAAAGCGAAGGCAAUCUUCUGGAACAUUACUGACGCUGAGGCGCGAAAGCGUGGGGAGCAAACGGGAUUAGAAACCCCAGUAGUCC